UGAAACCAAACUUCCUCUGCCUACACACAAUGCAUAUCCCUCCAAUUUCUGCACAAUCAUGUGCCUC